rnacentral:rRNA from 1 species
UCAGGACGAACGGCUGGCGGCGUGCCUAAUACAUGCAAGUCGAACGGUCUUUCUAUGGAAGCUUGCUUCCACUGAAAAGAUAGUGGCGAACGGGUGAGUAACACGUGGGUAACCUGCCCAUAAGAGGGGGGAUAACAUCCGGAAACGGGUGCUAAUACCGCAUAGUUUUCUUGAUCGCAUGAUCGGGAAAGGAAAGACGGCCUUUGUGCUGUCGCUUAUGGAUGGACCCGCGGCGUAUUAGUUAGUUGGUGAGGUAACGGCUCACCAAGACGAUGAUACGUAGCCGACCUGAGAGGGUGAUCGGCCACAUUGGGACUGAGACACGGCCCAAACUCCUACGGGAGGCAGCAGUAGGGAAUCUUCCGCAAUGGACGAAAGUCUGACGGAGCAACGCCGCGUGAGUGAAGAAAAGGUUUUCGGAUCGUAAAACUCUGUUGUCAGAGAAGAACAAGUUGGAGAGUAACUGCUCCAGCCUUGACGGUAUCUGACCAGAAAGCCACGGCUAACUACGUGCCAGCAGCCGC